rnacentral:misc_RNA from 1 species
GAUGAAGAACGUAGUGAAAUGCGAUACUUGGUGUGAAUUGCAGAAUCCCGUGAACCAUCGAGUUUUUGAACGCAAGUUGCGCCCGAAGUCGUUAGGCUGAGGGCACGCCUGCCUGGGUGUCACACAUCGUUGCCCCAAUGCCAAUCGCCUCACUUUGUAGGUAUUUGCUUGGGGUGAAUGUUGGCCUCCCGUGAGCUUUGUCUCACGGUUGGUUGAAAAUCGAGCGAACCGGGAAGAGCCCACCAUGAGAAUCGGAGUUUAAGCAUAUCAAUAAGCGGAGGA